AUUGAACGCUGGCGGCAUGCUUUACACAUGCAAGUCGAACGGCAGCGCGGGGCAACCUGGCGGCGAGUGGCGAACGGGUGAGUAAUACAUCGGAACGUACCCAGAAGUGGGGGAUAACGUAGCGAAAGUUACGCUAAUACCGCAUACGUUCUACGGAAGAAAGUGGGGGACCUUCGGGUCUCAUGCUUUUGGAGCGGCCGAUGUCUGAUUAGCUAGUUGGUGAGGUAAAGGCUCACCAAGGCGACGAUCAGUAGCUGGUCUGAGAGGACGACCAGCCACACUGGGACUGAGACACGGCCCAGACUCCUACGGGAGGCAGCAGUGGGGAAUUUUGGACAAUGGGCGCAAGCCUGAUCCAGCAAUGCCGCGUGAGUGAAGAAGGCCUUCGGGUUGUAAAGCUCUUUUGUCAGGGAAGAAACGGCUGAGGAUAAUACCUUCGGCUAAUGACGGUACCUGAAGAAUAAGCACCGGCUAACUACGUG
rnacentral:rRNA from 1 species